rnacentral:lncRNA from 1 species
CUCUGUUUGAUCCAAACACAGAGCUCUCUGUCAUGGUCAUGUGGCAGCUCUCACAGAAUCCUUGUUUCCUGCCCUAGACUACACCUAACCCUAACCUCUCAACACCUCUUGUUGAAGGCCCUCCCAUCCAGGUUGCCCUACCAAUUGAAAUUUUUUUUAGAGACAAGGUCUCUUGCCCAGGCUGUCCUCGAACUCCUGGGCUCAAGCAGUCCUCCCAUGUCAGCCUCUAGAUUAGCUGGGACUAUUCGGCACACACCACCACACCCAACGAAGUGAAUAUUUUAUAUGCCAGCUGGCCGGUAUUACACCAUUCCAUCCCAAAUCUCCCCUCCAAACUUGGUGAAAAUCAUCUGACCAUUUUUACAGAUUAGAACGAAAGCAAACAAGCUCUCACUCUGUCUGCCCCCAGCACGAGGCUGUCCACACGGAGCUUUUGGAUGAGCUGUACGAGGCGCUGGCGGAGACCCUGAUGGCCAAGGAGUCCACCCAGGGCCACUGGAGCUAUUUGCUGCCCUCGGAAGGCUCGGUCACACUCUCCGAGCACAGCCAUCAUCUCCCACGGUACCACAGGCCUGGUCACAUGGGACGCUGCCCGCUACCUUGCAGAAUGGGCCAUCAAGAACCCGGCAGCCUUCACUAACAGGUGACCUCGGGGCACAGGGCAGCCGCCAUCUACCUUGCAGAAUGGGUCAUUGAGAACCCGGCAGCCUUCACUAACAGGUGACCUCGGGGCACAGGGCAGGGCACUGAGGCAGGCUUACCCUGGUGCAGUCGAAGACACGGUCCCCUUUCCUCCCG